rnacentral:rRNA from 1 species
UACGUAGGGGGCAAGCGUUGUCCGGAUUUACUGGGCGUAAAGAGUGUGUAGGCGGUUGUGCCAGUCUGUUGUGAAAUCUCCCGGCUUAACUGGGAGGGUGCAGCGGAAACUAGAAUGCUAGAGGGUGGGAGAGGUAAGCGGAAUUCCUGGUGUAGCGGUGAAAUGCGUAGAUAUCAGGAGGAACACCUGUGGUGUAGACAGCUUACUGGACCACUUCUGACGCUGAGACACGAAAGCGUGGGUAGCAAACAGG